rnacentral:rRNA from 1 species
CAGUAGCCACGGUAAUACGAAGGGUGCAAGCGUUAAUCGGAAUUACUGGGCGUAAAGCGUGCGUAGGCGGUUUGUUAAGUCUGCUGUGAAAUCCCCGGGCUCAACCUGGGAAUGGCAGUGGAUACUGGCAAGCUAGAGUGUGUCAGAGGAUGGUGGAAUUCCCGGUGUAGCGGUGAAAUGCGUAGAGAUCGGGAGGAACAUCAGUGGCGAAGGCGGCCCCCUGGACAAAGACUGACGCUCAGGUGCGAAAGCGUGGGGAGCAAACAGGAUUAGAUACCCGUGUAGUCCCUGUCUCUUAUAC